GGGGGGGAGAGGAAGUGGGGUGGGAACACGGACACCCAGCACUGCAAUGACAAGCAGGGUCAAUCUUUCUGCGUGAGGACUCACUUCUGUCAUUAUUACUCUGUGACUAUCACCUGAGGUCAGUGCAGACCCAGUCCAAUCAUGUUACACUUACCUUGGAAAGGAGUAACAAGCAAGUUACGGUCGGCUGUGAGUUUUCAUGGAUGGAUGGUGGAUGCAUUCGGAAAGGCUUGACUCCAUCUGUUCCCGAGCACCUGGCCUAGGAUUCCACUUAGGGCGAGGUCAAAACCUUGCCAUGAAAGCAGCCUCACUUUUGCAGGAAUCAGCUUCAAAGAAGAUGCCCAGCAUCCGACCCAGUUAGACUCAGAAAGUCCCCCACCCACCGAAGGACUGAGAGCGGUCUCUUUAAUACGGUACUGCUCUUGACCAGUGAUAGGAAGAUGGGGUCCUGUCAAUCAUAUGUCUUUGCAUUGCCUUAUCACCCCCACUUGUCAGAAGGCCUGUCUUGUUGUAUCUGUCCUGACAUCAGCUUCACAUUGGAAAUGGGAGGCUCUCUCAGCUUCACAUUGGAAAUGGGAGGUUCUCUCAGCUUCACAUUGGAAAUGGGAGGCUCUCUCAGCUUCACAUUGGAAAUGGGAGGUUCUCUCAGCUUCACAUUGGAAAUGGGAGGUUCUCUCAGCUUCACAUUGGAAAUGGGAGGUUCUCUCAGCUUCACAUUGGAAAUGGGAGGUUCUCUAAAGUUCUGGCAGGAACAUUCCAGGUGACCUAGAGAAACAGGCUUUCGUUGCUCCAUAGUUUAAAGUACUAAUGAGCAAUUCUAAUACAAAAUCACAUUGUCCAUAAUUGUUUUCAGUAUAGUCUGAAGACUGGCCUACAGAUACAGAAUAUUUAUAGCCAAUCUGAUCUUUGCUUUGAGUCACUGUUGAAAAUGAAAAUAUUUAAUCUUCAGUUAGACUGAAUAAUCUUUAUUUUCCAUCUAAAAUAUUAUUUCAAGAUACUCAAAUACAUUAGGCUUCUCUUUUUUGAAAACAAUUUCCUGAAGCUGUUUCCAAAUUCUGAUGGUUAUGGAUGAUAAAAAAAAAACCUUCUCGAUGUGUUUCUUCAUCAUAUCUUUGAAACAUGAAUAAUAAUAUAUUUUGUAAGGGACACAAGUAUGACCCUAAUUUGAAAAUUAUCUCAUAGGUGCCUCCUUUUAACUUGACCUGUUUUGUAUGCAUGUGCAACUAAAUGUUUAUCAGUGUAACUAAUAUAUAAUUUGUAUAGGUUACUAAAUAUCAUAUUCAUGACUGAUUACUUUUCUGGUCAUUACAUUCUUAGCUUUAGUAAUAUUUUUAUGAUCAUCUAUAAACCAAGAGGGUGUUCUAAUGCCUCCUAAAUUUUAAAUUCUUUGGUCGAAAUGACACGAAAGUCAUCUGUCAUUCUAUGUCCAACAGAUACUGCUGUUCCCCUUAAAAUUUUUAAGUAUCUCAUGAGUUUGGUGAGUGGGAACGGUGACUUGAACACAGACAAAUCCAGUGAAUGCAAGUUACAAACAAAAUGGGCUAUCGGGCUGAUGUUCUAAGUUAAUAUUCUUACCAGUUUGGACUCCAGUCAUUUUUAUCUCUGGUCAUGCGAGAUACAUGUAUGCAUUUCAAUACACAACACAUACACAUGUAUACCUAUAGUCUAUUUAACGUGAUAAACACCAACUAUGAGAUGAUCAAAAGCAGCACGAUGAGUUUAUUUCAUCUGGGAGGUUACAGUCCGUCAUCGAGGAAAGCCAUGGUAGGAACCUGGGGGCAGAAUGUGGAGCAGAGAGCAUGGAGGACACUUCACCGGCUUGCUGCGCCCAUCUGCUCAGCUGUUAGACAGCCGGCCACCCCGACCUACAGACAGUGCUGUCCAUGGUGAGCGGGGCCCUCCCAUAGUAACCGAGGAAAUGCCCAAAGGUCCGUCUGAUCAAGGCCAUCUCUAAUUGAGACCCCUUCGUAUUACUCGGGAUGUGUCAGCUUGAUGCCUGGAGCUAACUAAAGCAUGUAAAGCUAAACUACUUCCACACGGCUCUUCAGGGAACCAAAUUUAAACCUCCAAGGAAAAUAUUUCAGGACUCAGGCAAACUACAGAUUAGAAAGCAAAUCUUAAUUUAGACACAACUCAAACCGACAUUGUGAUGGUCAGAUUCAUUCAUGGGGUUGUUUGUUUUUUAUCUCUUUGCAGGCUACUGGAGCUGCACUGGAUAUUUUCAAUAGAGACCAUACAAUUUACAUCACCUAAAAUGUCUAUAUGGUCCUUUAUAAGAAAAAAAAUGCUCAUUUUCAUUGCCCCUCACACUUUGUGAUGACCUUUAGGGAUCCAUGUUCCAAAGCUGUAGGAUUUUUGCCUUAGUUAGGGCUAUUUCUCUUAUUUGCUAUUUAGAGGUUAGGUGAGCUUUGUUUCAUAUUGCAAAUGGUCUCACAACAGUUGUGCAAGAGGUAAAAUUAAAAUUUCCAUGUGAACAAAAAAUGAAAAAUUAUACCAUUUCCCGAAAAAGAAAAUUAGUGUGAUGAGUUAAAAGUAGAAGUUAAGAUUUCCAGUUGUUUGGACAUAUUUUAGAAACUUAAAAAAAACACAUGUGAAUUAAACAAACUAACAAAAAAACCAAAUAAUGUUCACUCAUAUUUAAGUCAAACUGGAGCCCUGUUGCUUAGCAAGCUACAGAAUGUGCACCCUCAGGUUUUGAAUUUCUCAUGAUACGAUGAAGUAGUUUCUAUUGGAUUUUCAUUAACAUUUAGGAGAUAGUGUAUUAUUCUAUGACAAUCACUUGCUCAUCAACAGUUUGGGCGAACACUUACACGGGCAACUUCACUUUUAAAAACGACUUUCCUAUGUCCAUGCUUCUCUGAGUGUGGUGGGUUCCAUGUGAAAAGCACCUCUAGUUCAUACUUUACUUUCCUAGCAAAUCUAGGAGACCAAGAAGAGCCCUCUAGUCCAUUUCUACCCAGAAAAAUUACCCAUCCCAAAGCAUCUGCCUUAAGGGAACCAAGUAACUCAGUUAUUCAGGGGAAUCUAAGCAUUUGUGGCUUGUUUCAGCCUGACUUUCAACAUUUGUAACUGCAAAGGUCACAGAUGAGACUGUAAGGAGGAAGCAAUUAUCAGCCUGUCAUUAGGAAGAUCUGCAGUUUCUGUAUGAUGGGAUGGAAGAGUCUCUUUAAACUGAUGGAGCCAUCAGUAAGAAGAUACAGCCACUGGGACAUUACAGAAUGUGGGAACAAAAGACAUGAGUCACCCUCUGAGCCCUGGUGCUUAGCAUGGGCUGGAGACAAAUUGCUGGAAUGAGAGGGAGAAGGUGACACACAUUCGGAUUGAACAUUCUUAUCUGCCUGUCUUCCAGAUGGCUCCAAGUUUGAAUAGACUUAAAACCUUACAAUAGCUACUUUUCUUUCUAGAAAUUAAACAGCAUGGCUUAGAGGAUAUUUGGCCUUCGUGGAAAGCAAACUUGAAGGACAUGAUUCACUAGUAGCAAAAGCUUCCAAGAAACAGCCCGUUCCAGGAACCCUUUUCCCACAGUAAAUCUUUUCUGACAAGCCAUUGCUUGCAAAAUAUGAAUGGAAAAUGAAUUUAGCCCAGUGAUACUCUUUGGGUAGCUAAGAUGUCUCUUUUGGAGAGAAAAGACAAGUAAUCACACAUACAGCCUGUACUGAAUACAUGCAGACAGUAAGCACUUCACGGUGGGAGAGAGGAAAAUGGUCUCUUGUGCCAAGAAUGUGCAAUGCGGAUCUUGAACGGUUAGACAAUCUGCAAUUAGGGAGGAAGGGGACUUGCCUGAUCAAGGAGCGGCAGCGCCGGGGUAGAGAAACACAAGGCUGAGAUACACAUGGUAUCGUGGAGCGGGCAGUAGUCUUAUAUCUAAACCAAGCUCCUUGCUGCUCUCUGCUCUGGACAGCUGAAGGGGAAGCUCUUCUCCUGCCCCUGCUACCUGGCUAGUCUCCUAGUACACACCUAAGCAGCAUGAAGUCACCCAGCAUUGUGAACACAUGUGUUUGGAUGCACACAGCUAAUCUUCAAACCUCAAGCUGGUCCUGCCAGGUUCUUACAUUCCUCACUCUCUUUUGUUCAGUGUAUGUAAGGUUAUAAUUAUACAAUAUAAAAAAUCUAAAGAAUCUACUAUAUCUCGGAGGCACUACUUUCCAUUCAUCUUUAAGACAUUUGGAUUUUUAAAAUAUGGAUUACUAAUUAGAAUUACAGUGUGACUUCUCUGACUUGAGUAUCUUUGUCUAUUUCUGGUAAUGUCUGUGGAUAGUGGAUGGCUGCAUUACUCCAGGAUGAGAGACGGAGACAAAGACUAUCAUCCAGGUGCUAAGAAGUAAAGAUACUAUUAGGACAGAGAAAACAUGUUAGUGGACACUGAGAAAGGGAGACUUGCCGUGAGGGGUUUCCAGGCGUAGACGGCAUCAUCUGGGAUGUCUUUUUGAGACUUCUCAGAUGUGAAAUUUGCAUUGCUGGGUUGUUGAGAGUUUUUUGGACUAAAGGUACAUAAGCAACCUCAAUGGCAGCAUGGAUGAGUACAGAAUAGCAUCAUAUGCAAUAAAACAGGUUUCCUGUAGUCUAGAUCACAAGUCAUUAACCCAAAAUGUGAGUGUGUAUGAUGAAAUGGAGAAGAAAGUAUAAAUACGUUAAUUUACACAGCUAAGAUUAUGGUUGGCUUUUACACUUUCUAAUAAAAAGUACUAAAAGAAGCUGUGAACAUUAAUGUGUCAAAAUGGUGCUAUUGAUUCCUUAAUACAAAGACACGAUUAUAAUAUUUUUAGGUAAGCAUGUUAAGCCUGGUUUGGCUACAAAUGUAAAUACAUAAAAUGCUUGCAAUCAACAAAACCAUGUCCAUUUGCUAAUGGUUGAGGUACUGUAUUCUUCAAUGUGCGUGACUGACCAGAGUUCACACUUCCUAUGAGGAGACCAGGACAGCCAUUGGCUCUCUCUCAACUGCCAAAAGUCUAAGAUAUUUGAUGGCUCACUGGAUUUUUCUUGGAUGCAGGUUGGACAACCCAAGUCAAUGAUUAAAUAUGUCCAUUUGGUGACAGUAGGGGUGUUGGCCAAGAACUUGAAGAAAGACUAUGCGACAUGAGCAAAGUCAAUGCUGCUAGGCUAACUGUAGAGCCUGACUUUAGUGAGGACCGAUGUAACUCUAAGUUCACCCAGAUUGUCAGAGCAUGCCAAAAGAAGCUAGCCGGUGCCCUGCAGCUGGCCAAUCUGUAAAGGAAUCUGCAUGUGCAAUGUGAUAAUAAAUCAUCUAAGAGCCCA